rnacentral:sRNA from 1 species
GAGAGCCCCAGCAGGUAUGGGGCGGGAUGCGCUGCCUGGGGAUGUCCCCCAUGUGUGUGGGUGAAUAACACGUGCCGGUUGUUUUGCAGGGGUUUGAUUCAGGAGAUGAGCGGCGAUGCUUCUGUGUGCCCGGAUAAAAGUAAAGGAAGUUACCGGCAGCAUUUUUUCAAGCACGG